UUUAUUUCAGUAUAGUGAUCUGUAUUUUUGUAGCAUAUGUGGAAAGUAUCGCACAUCGCCUCCGUGGCGCAAUCGGCUAGCGCGUUCGGCUGUUAACCGAAAGGUUGGUGGUUCGAGCCCACCCGGGGGCGCAUCUUUUUUUUACUCAGUAGAAGUAAAUAUGAAAGUGUUUCACUAGAUAAACAUUUCAAAAAUAGAAAAAGCAAUGAAAAGACAUUGUGUACAUACAAUAUUUAUUUUUGAGCCGAUGUUUAUAUUCUCGCGCAAUACAAUUAAAUCCUGAAGCUACACAGUGUUGGUUUAACAAAAGAUUCUUUUAUGCUAUUUAUAUUUAACCAAAAAUAUUUAUUAAAUUGUUAUUGUGUUAAAAAAACAUGGGCUGAUAUUUUGUUAAAAAACAUGGACUGUUUCUAUUUACUUAUUUAAAUAAUAGUUAGAUUAUACAGUUGUGGACAAAAUACAGCGGGAUAAUUAUUUUUUGCUGAUGUAACAUGUUCUUUAGGAGAUUAUAAUUCUAAUCAAUAUUAUUCACAUCACUUUUGAUUUUAUAUUUCUGUGUUUCAAAACCUAGUAACAGAGAAAUCAGUGUAUGCUAGGUUCUUCCGUCUUAAUUGUUGCUCUUUUUUUCAGUAUAGUCGGAUAAAUAUGUGCUAAUCAAUUAAAUAUUAAUUCAAUUUGUUAGAUCAUACAACUUUUUGUCAUUUGAAUUUAUAAUUCAUUUGGAUGUCUUUUAUUAGUUUAUUAUUAUCCAAAAGAUGGUCCUCCAAAAGAAUUCCUUACUUCUAAUGAAUCACUGUGUUUUUUUCUUAACGCAUUUUUCGGAAUUCUGUAAUUCUUUCAAAUUAAAAUUUACUAAUUACUUACGUAUAAGAUACUGUAUAAAAGACACACUCAUCGGCAAAAUUAUCGCAUCACUUAAACUGCAAGAUUCGAGGCUUAUGAGUUCUGAAAAUUGUACUGAAGUCGAUGAUAUAGGGUAUCAGCAUUCUCAAGUAAUUUCGAUGGCUAUCAGUUUUUUUUAAAUAAUUAGGCUAGAUUCAUGGCUAGCUAAGUAAACGUCAAAUUAUCAAAAUCACAGCAGACCACGUAGAAGGGAGGCAGUUAUCCAGGCUUGAAGAGGUAAUACCAAGUAAUAAUGAUUGCUUUAAAUGCCAAAGUUGCCUUAAUAGACCUUAUCCAAGCCAAAAAAACUGAUCCGAAUGAAAUUCACUUUUUGGCUUUUUUUGAUAAUCAAUAAGUUGUAGUUUAAUUGUUGACGUUACAGUUGUAGGUUUAGUAGGUUUAACGUUUGAUUAAUUUAUUUUUUAAAAUUUAAUUAGAAAAAAUACACAAGUAAAGAAAAUAUGUUUAUUAUCUGUGAGUCAUGGGUUUCUGAAACGAGUGCGGAGCACGAGUUUAGUAUGAUUUUUUCAAAAUGAUUUUCAAAAAACUGCUAUAACUUAGUUUUUUUAGCGGCAAUCGAAAGAAUAUCCAUAUUUAUGGUGACUUAUCAAUACGUCUUAUAUCUCUCUUACAGUUCUUAAAAAAAUCACAAAAAACGUAAUUUUUAUAGUUAAUCAAGUAGACCUUGUAAAAUGGUUAACAAUUUAUUGUCAAACUUCAAUAUUUUAUUUAGUGUAUAGCUGGUUCUUCUUGAAUGAAAAUGGUGAACAAAUCGGACAUUUCGUUUAAUUAAUAGCACAAUUUUAUCGUAUUUUUCAAAAAUUUACUCGAUUAAAAAUGAAAAUAAUGAGCAAGAAUUCUGUUUUUUACAAUUAUUUCAAAAACUGUAAGAAACAGAUAUAGAUGAUGUUCAUAAAAAUCUUUAUUAAAAUUAAUUCUCUUUUGAUUGCCACUGAAAAAACAGAGUUAUUUCAUUUGAAUGAACUGGGUUAUAAUCAUUUUUUAUCAUCCUUUUCAAAAAAUUAUAGUAGCCUUGCAAUUUGACUGUUGACAAUCCUAAAAACUUGAAAAGACCCUUUGAACCUUUGGCUAUCAAAUGAAAAAAGAAUUAUUCACUUAUUGUAAAGAGUUCAAGGACUGUGAUAUUUUAAAUAAACCCCGGCAAAUAAAGUCCGGGACAUUUCUAUUUGGACAUAAAAAAUUUGAAUUUUCUGACAUUUAUACGUGUAUUCAGCGUCUGUGUGAACAAAAAAUGUUCUCUCUCUCAUUCUAUGGUCCUUGAGCUUUAAUAACAGGGACAUUUUUUAAAUUGGUAGCAUUAGAAAAUGACAGUAAACAGCUGACCGAUGUAAACAAUAACACAAUAACAAAGGAAAUGUUAUAAUUUUAAUCUAUAUAACCAGUGGCUGCUUUAAAAGUGUGUACUAACGGGAUAAUAACAUAUUUACGCAAGUAUUUUUGAAGGUAGAAACAUUACUUGUCAUAUAACAACUACUCAGAUUAUAUGAUGAGACGGGAAUGGCACAAAACAGAAUUGCAGUCAGUGAUUGUGAUGGAGAAAGCCGCUGUGAAGUACUGACAGUACUGACUAUCGCUGGUUGUACGAUUUGUGCAAUUUGUGAUAUAUUUUGUGUGAAAAACUGGAAAAGAAAGUGCAUCACUGCAUAACCUCACUUAUCGCAGUUUUGCACAUUUUGAUGAUGGGAAUUGCGGUUCAAGUAAUUAUGAGUUAUAGAUGGAGAGCCCUGUUUACUUCAAACUGAAGCCUUUUGGGUCCACUUUGUUCGUUAUUUCCUGGCAGCCACUCUUGUUUCAAGCAGAGUGGGUGUAAAGUUAAAAAUAAUCCCGUAAAAUUGUUAAUAUAACUCCUUUGCACUGGCAUGGGGUAUUUGAAAACUUAUGUUUAACAAAUACGUCACAAAGUCUCAGCCAUCGUCGAAAAACAUAAUAAGGGCUUUAUAACAAGAAGCGCUUUCUGAUUUUACUGUGGACGUGUGGAAGAAUAGUGUGAAAUAUUGCGAAAAACCAACUUUUACUCUUGUUUACAUUUUUGUACGUCUAUCUGAGAGUAGUCUCUUGUAUAAAAAAUAUAGCCUACUAAUAAAGGAAAUUAAAGUGUUUUUAUUUCUGGGUUGCCCCCAAUUCCACUUCGCCCUUGCCUGAUAAUCAAGACACUGAUAAUGAAAUUGGUGUAAGUGCAUCGAAUACAAACGUGUUGAAUAGAUGAAUAAAAGAGAGACAACUGCUUUUUUCAAAAAGGCCAUUUCAAAUUUAUUCAAAAAGCACACCCCCACUGAAAAGGGUCCAUUCACGAUGAAGUUUGGCUUCCUGCAUGACAUAGGUUUCGGGCACCAAUCACACUGUAAAUGGUCUAAAUUGGUCUUACAUCUCUCAGACAUGGACUCACUGAGAGCGACUUCUGCAGUAGGCUUGAGGCCUGCCUGCCUGUCUCGCAACAAUCUCUGCAUUAUGAUUCCAAAUCAUUCUAUAAAACGCUGUCAAUUACAAGCCAUGAUAUGAGGCAUGAGGCCGUCUUAGUGUUUUCGAAUGUUGGUGCAAAGACUUGUCGCGAGGCAGGUUUCAGCCUUCCGCCAACGUCAGUCUCAGUGAAACCCUCUCAAAGUGAUCUCAGCGAAAACCAUUCACAAUGAGAUUGGUCUAUGAGGCCUAUGUCGUGCCGCAUGCAGCGAGAUAUGUCUCAUUGUUAAUGAAAAUAGGGCCUUUUUUGUUGUUUAAAGUCGUUUUUUAAAACUUUUGUGGCAAAUUUUACUGAUGUGGCAGAGAGGGGGCAUGCACUUGGAACAUGACGGUGACUACCCUGAAAGGCACUUCGAGGCUUUUAUGACCUUUUUAAUGCAAAUUUCAACUUUAAACCUGACAGUCAUACCAAGGUCAAACAUAACCUCAACAGUAAUCCAGCAACGGUACUUCAAAGCAUUUGAAAGUUUCUCCAUUUGUUUUUAAGUGUUCUAGUUGGUACAUUUUGCUGUACUUUACUACAAUAAAGAAAUAUUUAAAUUUU